rnacentral:rRNA from 1 species
UACGGAGGGUGCAAGCGUUAUCCGGAUUCACUGGGUUUAAAGGGUGCGUAGGCGGGUUGGUAAGUCCGUGGUGAAAUCCCCAAGCUUAACUUGGGAACUGCCGUGGAUACUAUCAAUCUUGAAUAUCGUGGAGGUAAGCGGAAUAUGUCAUGUAGCGGUGAAAUGCUCAGAUAUGACAUAGAACACCAAUUGCGUAGGCAGCUUACUACACGAUCAUUGACGCUGAGGCACGAAAGCGUGGGGAGCAAACAGG